UCCUUGGCUCUGGUUGAUUGUAG
rnacentral:piRNA from 1 species